GACGAACGCUGGCGGCGUGCCUAAUACAUGCAAGUUGAGCGCUGAAGGGUGGUACUUGUACCAACUGGAUGAGCAGCGAACGGGUGAGUAACGCGUGGGGAAUCUGCCUUUGAGAGGGGGACAACAUUUGGAAACGAAUGCUAAUACCGCAUAAUAACUUUAAACACAAGUUUUAAGUUUGAAAGAUGCAAUUGCAUCACUCAAAGAUGAUCCCGCGUUGUAUUAGCUAGUUGGUGAGGUAAAGGCUCACCAAGGAGAUGGUACAUAGCCGACCUGAGAGGGUGAUCGGCCAACUUGGGACUGGGACACGGCCCAAAACCCUGCGGGGGGGAGCCGUAGGGGAACCUUGCGAAAGGACGAAAGGCUGACCGGGGAACGCCGCGGGAAGGAAGGAGGUUUUCGGGUCGUAAAAGUCUUGUUGUAGGGAAGAACGUAAUGUGGAGUUAAAAGCGCAUCAAGUGACGGUAACUACCCAGAAAGGGACGGCUAACUACGUG
rnacentral:rRNA from 1 species